UCGAGGCGAAGAGAUUGACCAGAAGGUCAG
rnacentral:sRNA from 1 species